GGAAUAUAAGAACCCGUCUCUUAACUUUUAACUAAAAAAGCUAAGAACCGGCUCUUAAAUAAGAGUUUUAAGAGCCGGUUCUUAAUUUUUUUAGUUAAAAGUUAAGAGACGGGUUCUUAUAUUCC
rnacentral:pre_miRNA from 1 species